UACCAAACCUUUUUGUCAGGAUGCUUCUCUAUCCGUUUUAGGAUAAACUUAUCUACAGAAGUGUCUGUUACUGUUUUGGAAGAGUAAUACUGUUCGCUUAUCCAUAUUUCCCCGUUCUGGGGAAGCCUCAUGGGUAAAUUAGAAGGACAACCUUUGUUUUAAAGGUAUACCUUCGCUCUUUAGAACAGCGAGGAUCUUAUGAGUUGAGCUUUUGUUACUUGAGACUUUAUCUCGGGCUCCAUACAAUAUGUUCGUAGUAAAGAUCCUCACAAUU
rnacentral:snoRNA from 1 species